GAAUAUUGGACAAUGGGCGAAAGCCUGAUCCAGCCAUGCCGCGUGUGUGAAGAAGGUCUUCGGAUUGUAAAGCACGUUAAGUUGGGAGGCAGGGCAGUAAGCGAAUACCUUGCUGUUUUGACGUCACCGACCGAAUAAGCACCGGCUAACUCUGUGCCAGCCGCCUCGGUAAUACCUAGGGUGCAAGCGUUAAUCGGAAUUACUGUGCGUACAGCGCGCGUAGGUGGUUCGUUAAGUUGGAUGUGAAAUCCCCGGGCUCAACCUGGUAACUGCAUCCAAUACUGGCGAGCUAGAGUAGGGCAGACGGUUGUGGAAUUUCCUGUGUAGCGGUGACAUGCGUAGAUAUAGGAAGGAACACCAGUGGCGAAGGCGACCACCUGGGCUCAUACUGACACUGAGGUGCGAAAGCGUGGGGAGCAAACAG
rnacentral:rRNA from 1 species